rnacentral:rRNA from 1 species
GGCUAACGCUGGCGGCGUGUCUUAGCCAUGCAAGUCGAGCGGACUUAUGGGGUAACUUAUAAGUCAGCGGCGGACGGCGGAGUAACACGUAGCUAACCUACCCUCUGGACGGGGAUAACCUACCGAAAGGUGGGCUAAUACCCGAUGUAGUCAUCCUGUAUAGGGGUGACGAAAGGUGGGCUUCUGUUUACAAGCUCAUGCUGGAGGAGGGGGCUGCGGCCUAUCAGGUAGUUGGUAGGGUAAUAGCCUACCAAGCCGAUGACGGGUAGCCGGCCUGAGAGGGUGACCGGCCCGAGGGGCACUGAGAUACGGGUCCCACUCCUACGGGAGGCAGCAGGCUAGAAAUUUGGGCAAUGGGGGAAACCCUGACCCAGUGACGCCGCGUGCAGGAAGGAGCCCUUCGGGGUGUAAACUGCUGUCGUGUAGGGAGAAGGGUACUAAGGUGAACAAUCUUAGUACUUGACGGUACUACAGGAGGAAGCCCAGGCUAACCUCGUG